rnacentral:tRNA from 1 species
GGUCUGGUGGAGCAAUGGUAGCUCGUCACUUUCCGGGGAGCUGCUGACUAAGCAGAAUUCCUACCGAGGUGAAAGUUGCGGGUUCGAGUCCCGUCCGGAUCG